UUCAAGAAGCAUUCUUACCAUGCUACCCUUGAUCCUGUCUGAUCUUGGAAGCUAAGCAGGAUGAGGCCUGGUUAGUACUUGGAUGGGAGACCACCUAGGAAGACCAGAUGCUGUAGGUG
rnacentral:rRNA from 1 species